UACAAAUCGGAACAAUUUUUGACAAGAUUUUUGAGUUUUGUCAGAUGUGAAUUGUUAAGAUUUAAUUGAAAAAAUGAACAGAACGCGGCAGCUAUUUCGAAGGGAGUGACCCAGAACCAAUUAGAAUGGAGUAACAAUUGAGCAUUCUCCGCCAAGAAAUCCGCAUCGGGGAUCAGAUUAGAGCCGCCGCAGCCCCGCCCGCCCGCUCCCCAACUCCAAAUAUCAUUAGUGAGAGACUGCCAGGAAUUGCUUUUCCCGAUCAAUUUUCCUAGUUUUGAAGGUGAAGUUUACCCGGGGACCGUGCGGAGGGCGCUGGCCGGUCACCUCCGGGCAGGCGACGGACAACGUGGGGACCAUCCUGAAAAAACAGGAUGAAGCCCUGAUGGAACACUACCUAGCAAGGAUGGGACAGCCUUCUGCAGUUCUGAAGUAACUUCUAAGUGGCGUGGGCACAGACACAAUUGCCACGGCCUAAAGCCUGGGAGGCCGGCUGGCGCUCGGGGCCGACGCCUCCUCGCUCCAUCUGCUCUGCAACAGAUGCGACUUGGACCUCCACCUGGCCUGUGUGGUUGAUGAAUCUGCCCGUCAUGGUGCAAAGUGCAAGGACCGUGGGGUCUGGCAGGCCUGGCUGCAGCUGCCGGUGUCUUCUGAUUGGCUCCAAGCCCUGAGCUCCUUCCUGUGCCCACCCUAUCCCUGACUGAGUCCUCCCCACGGCUGCAGUGUAGAAACCCAGGAGCUGAGGCCGCCAGAGGAAGGGAGUUUGGAACCCAGGACCCAGGCCUCGUACUCCCCACUCGGCCCUGGAGACCUGCACGUGGGGGCCUAGGACCCCGCCCCGCCCAGAUUCCCCCGUGCCGGGAUGGGGGCUGUGCCCACCUCCCUAGAGCCAGCAGCGGGCUGGAAGAGAAAAAGCUUGAAAUUGAAUCCUCCGCGGCUUGGGGGUCAGGGAGCAGACCCCCACAUUUUCUCCACUGUCAAAACCCCCGUAGGAUUUUCUUGAAGUUCAGUUUCACAUCAUCUGGCUGAACAUUUGGAACUUUUUAAACGGAAAUUGUAGAAAAAAUGAGAAGCAUUUUCAUCUCGGAACACAAUACCUUCCUGGCGGGGAGCCCCGGGGAGAAGCCGCGGCCGCCUGGGUGGAGAAGAACCCAGGUCAUUGUCAAUCUGGAUUAAUCCGAGUUCUUCCGCCGAGCGAGCCGGUGCCGGGCAGAGCCGGCUAAUCAGGGUGUCUCUGCACCCGUCCGGCUCCUGCUCGCACUUCUGCCAGUCUGCCCGGCAGCCUCCCUCACUGUGAGCGCCUUGCAUCCACCCGACAGGACCGCACCCCAGGGAGCGUGGCAUCCGGGCACUGGGGACUCCAGCCUGGAGUUUGGCAUGGGCUCAGUGGACAGGGACACCAGAGGGCAGGGCGGGCAAGCAGCUGGUGUCACCUGGUUCCGAGGGCUGGUGCCACAGCCCUGGCCUCCGAAGAUGCGCAGUGGUGGUCUCCAGGGUCCCUCAGAGUUCUGCCAGGGAGACAGCUGGGCCCAUUUCACAGACUGAGGGACAGAGGCAGUGGGAGGAUCUCCCAGCCCACAGUAUCAGCCACAAGCCGGACAGCGGCCCUGGUCCAGGUGGAGGCAGUACAGGGGGCUCUUCCGACAUCCCCUCCCCGUCCAGGCGUUGGGACCUCCCCACACACCUGCAGCGGCGGCAGGCGGAGAUGGUGGUUUGAGGGGCAGCGACGGGGGUGACUGAAUUAACA